AAGACUAUAGACCUGCGGAGUACCUGCGGAAGGAUCAUUAAAAAUGUUUGGUGAAAUAUGUUUGGGAAUGAUUUCUCUAACGAGAGUCGUUUUCAGGUGUAUUUCAUAAGAACUAAACAUUGGUUCUUACCCACCCUUGUGCACUGUAAGAGGUAGCUUGCUACCACUGAGGAACAAGAAUCAGUAAAAUGAUUAUUUUCCUCAACCACAAACCCCUUUUUAUUCCAAUGACUGAAGUUU
rnacentral:misc_RNA from 1 species